AUACCCUAUUAUUUUAGAGCUUUACAUUGUAAGUAAAUAAUAAUUACGAAAGCAAAAAAUUAUGGCGGUAUUUUAAGCUUUUCAGAGGAAUUUGCUCUUUAAUGGAUAAAACACCUAAAUCUUACUUAAAUUUGUUAGGUCAAUUUGUAUACCACUAUUAAAUUAAUUAAUAAUUUUAAUUUAUAAAAUUUAUAUAAAUUUAAAAAAAAUUAAGUCAAGGUGCAGUAAAAAUUUAAGAAUGAAGUGAAUUACAAUUCUCUUAAGAGAUUAUUUAAAUUAAAAUUUUAAUUUAGGAUUUGAAAGUAAAAUUAAAAUAGAAUGUUAAUUUGAAUAAAGCUCUAAGAUAUGUACACAUCGCCCGUCG
rnacentral:rRNA from 1 species